rnacentral:rRNA from 1 species
CAGCAGCCACGGUAAUACAGAGGGUGCGAGCGUUAAUCGGAUUUACUGGGCGUAAAGCGUGCGUAGGCGGCUUCUUAAGUCGGAUGUGAAAUCCCUGAGCUUAACUUAGGAAUUGCAUUCGAUACUGGGAAGCUAGAGUAUGGGAGAGGAUGGUAGAAUUCCAGGUGUAGCGGUGAAAUGCGUAGAGAUCUGGAGGAAUACCGAUGGCGAAGGCAGCCACCUGGCCUAAUACUGACGCUGAGGUACGAAAGCAUGGGGAGCAAACAGGAUUAGAUACCCCUGUAGUCCCUGUCUCUUAUAA